UACGUAGGGCGCAAGCGUUGUCCGGAAUUAUUGGGCGUAAAGAGCUCGUAGGCGGUUUGUCGCGUCUGCUGUGAAAACCUAAGGCUCAACCUUGGGCUUGCAGUGGGUACGGGCAGACUAGAGUGCGGUAGGGGUGACUGGAAUUCCUGGUGUAGCGGUGGAAUGCGCAGAUAUCAGGAAGAACACGCGUGGCGAAGGCGGCUCUCUGGGACGGUACUGACGCUGAGACGCGAAAGCGUGGGGAGCGAACAGG
rnacentral:rRNA from 1 species